GACGAACGCUGGCGGCGUGCCUAAUACAUGCGAGUCGAGCGGACAGAAGGGAGCUUGCUCCCGGAAGUUAGCGGCGGACGGGUGAGUAACACGUGGGCAACCUACCCUGUAGAUCGGGAUAACAUCGAGAAAUCGGUGCUAAUACCGGAUAAUCAUUUGAAGUGCAUGCUUCGAAUGUAAAAGAUGGCUCCGGCUAUCAAUACGGGAUGGGCCCGCGGCGCAUUAGCUAGUUGGUAAGGUAAUGGCUUACCAAGGCAACGAUGCGUAGCCGACCUGAGAGGGUGAUCGGCCACACUGGGACUGAGACACGGCCCAGACUCCUACGGGAGGCAGCAGUAGGGAAUCUUCCGCAAUGGACGAAAGUCUGACGGAGCAACGCCGCGUGAGUGAUGAAGGUUUUCGGAUCGUAAAGCUCUGUUGUUAGGGAAGAACAAGUGCCGUUUGAAUAAGGCGGCACCUUGACGGUACCUAACCAGAAAGCCACGGCUAACUACGUGCCAGCCGCCGCCGUAAGAC
rnacentral:rRNA from 1 species